CCUCAAAGAUGAUGAGGUGGAUAGGUCUGGGGUGGAAGCGUGGCGACACGUGGAGCUGACAGAUACUAAUCGAUCGAGGACUUAACCUU
rnacentral:rRNA from 1 species